rnacentral:rRNA from 1 species
AUUGAACGCUGGCGGAAUGCUUUACACAUGCAAGUCGAACGGCAGCACGGACUUCGGUCUGGUGGCGAGUGGCGAACGGGUGAGUAACAUAUCGGAACGUAUCCAAUAAUGGGGGAUAACUAAUCGAAAGGUUGGCUAAUACCGCAUACGCCCUGAGGGGGAAAGCUAGGGAUCUUCGGACCUGGCGUUAAUGGAGCGGCCGAUAUCAGAUUAGGUAGUUGGUGGGGUAAAGGCCUACCAAGCCAACGAUCUGUAGCUGGUCUGAGAGGACGACCAGCCACACUGGGACUGAGACACGGCCCAGACUCCUACGGGAGGCUG